rnacentral:rRNA from 1 species
GACGAACGCUGGCGGCGUGCUUAACACAUGCCAGUCGAACGGAAAGGCCUGCUUUCCCUUGUGGAUUGCGGGUACUCGAGUGGCGAACGGGUGAGUAACACGUGAGUGAUCUGCCCCCAACUUGGGUAUAAGCCUGGGAAACUGGGUCUAAUUCCCGAUAGGACUGCAGGGUGGUGCCUGUGGUGGAAAACGAUUUUCUAGUGGUUGGGGAUGAGCUCGCGGCCUAUCAGCUUGUUGGUGGGGUAAUGGCCUACCAAGGCGGCGACGGGUAGCCGGCCUGAGAGGGUGGACGGCCACAUUGGGACUGAGAUACGGCCCAGACUCCUACGGGAGGCAGCAGUGGGGAAUAUUGCACAAUGGGCGGAAGCCUGAUGCAGCGAGGCCGCGUGGGGGAUGACGGCCUUCGGGUGGUAAACUCCUUUCGACCGCGAGGAAGCCACCUGGUUGGAAGGGUGGUGACGGUAGUGGUAGAAGAAGCACCGGCUAACUACGUG